AGCGAACGCUGGCGGCAGGCCUAACACAUGCAAGUCGAACGGAUCCUUCGGGAUUAGUGGCGGACGGGUGAGUAACACGUGGGAACGUGCCCUUUGGUUCGGAACAACACAGGGAAACUUGAGCUAAUACCGGAUGUGCCCUUCGGGGGAAAGAUUUAUCGCCAUUGGAGCGGCCCGCGUCUGAUUAGCUAGUUGGUGAGGUAAAGGCUCACCAAGGCGACGAUCAGUAGCUGGUCUGAGAGGAUGAUCAGCCACAUUGGGACUGAGACACGGCCCAAACUCCUACGGGAGGCAGCAGUGGGGAAUCUUGCGCAAUGGGCGAAAGCCUGACGCAGCCAUGCCGCGUGAAUGAUGAAGGUCUUAGGAUUGUAAAAUCCUUUCACCGGGGACGAUAAUGGCGGUACCCGGAAAAGAAGCCCCGGCUAACUUCGUGCCAGCCGCCGCCGUAA
rnacentral:rRNA from 1 species